ensembl:lncRNA
GGAAAGUUUCUGCACCCCAUAACCCUCUCAGCAUAUACAGCCAUCCAAAUCAGAGCAAUCAAACCAAAUCAGAAAACAAAAACAGUUUUAAUGAACAAAAUGCUCCCAGAUGAUUUCCAGCGCCCUUACCCCCACCCUGGGUAGACUGAAAAGAGAGACUGGAAAACCACAGGUCUGUUUGGGGGGGGGACAGUUAAAUACCCUGUGGAAGUUGUCUUGUGUAUCUCUGGGGGAGAGGUCAUCAUUUGGCAGGCUUCCUGAAGGCAGCAGGAUUUGGAGAGAUACAAGCAGCUUGGGGUCGAGCUUCCACCAGAACUUUCCAGAUUCUUUGGGCAUAUGAAUGCCAGUGUCUAGGGUGAAGCUUCCACCAGAACAGUGUUAUGCCUUCAUGCCUGAAGAGUGCACCAAAUCUCAAAAUUGUUGACUGAUAGUCACCCUGUGGUUGAUGGAAACUGAACUCCUGAAGAGCAGCUACUUUUCUUAACCUCUGAGCCAUCUCUCCAGCCACACUUGUGGGUACCUCACAAGCAAACAUUUCUCUGCUGUUUAUGUUUGAGUCCCACACAACCAAUGAAGACCUGCCUGACAGCAAUCCCUGGACACCCUGGAAAGAAAAUGGGCCACACCUCCUCGACUGCACUGGAUCCAACUUGCUCCAUUUCAACUGACAUUCCUGCCGGAGAUUCGGGUACUGACUUCAAUCAAGUUGAGGAUUUCAAGCGAGAUCUUCAAUCAAGCAAAUCCCAUCUAACAUGGACUGGAUACAAUUUAUUCAAGGCUUUUACUAUACUAACAUUUUCUUCCUAUAGGACCCUACAAGGAUGUCAUGGUCCCAUUUCAGCAGGAAGUAACUUGGAGGAUGCUAAGCCCCCCUUUCUCCCAAUGUUGUCACUUAGGAUAGUGUAUAUACCUAGUUAGGGAUAGCUUCCUAUUGUUUAUGGUUGGGAUUAGAAGGAGGUGUUCAGGCUUGGACACCUCUUUCAGAUGACUUUAGGGUUUAGUUAAAAUAGUUAGGAUGUGACAUAAGCAGAUUGUUGUAUCUUCUUAUAUUUCACCUUUAUGAUUGUUAAUUUUGGAUACUUUGCCCUGUUAAGUAUCAAUCCUCUUUUAGACUGAAAGGGGAAUUGUAGUGGAACCUGUAGCCAUGCCUGCUUAGGACCUGGCUAAAGGUGUCCCUGACCACUCCUGCCAGGGUGUGAUCAGGGUGACAUAGAUUGAGAGGUUCAGGUGGCUGGGUUUCACUUUCGGUUUCACCUUUUGGUUUGCUGUACAGAGUGCUGCUAUGCCUCCUGGGUAGGUCACUCUGUAAGGCUUUUUCCUAUUAAAUACCCUUGUAUUUCUACCUGGCUCUUUAUUGGUAAUUUCCCACUUAACUGUGUGGCUACGAAAUAUGCUCUCACAGAAUUCUAGAUUGAAGAGACAUGGCAAAUAGAAACAUCUGUCUGUAUCCAAGGUCAUCCAUUUUUAAGCUGCUCACCAAAAAGGUGCCUCUCCUCAAUGUCCACAACUAUGCAGCUUAUCAUAAUUUUAAGUAGGAAACAGACCCAGGACGUGACCCCACUUGUCAGAAGAACCCUCUGAUUUCUGUCAUUCCUCAAAAGCUCUCCUCAGAAAUCAGGAUUUUUUAGAGUUCUGUGAAGACUUGAAGACUGACUAGGGAGUGUCUGGAACUUCCUCCUCUAAAAAAGAUUCGGCUAAAGACAUGGACAUCUGAAACUCUAGGCAGUGCUAGGACCUUGUGAGUCAACAAAAUGAAGAGGUCCCAUCCUUCAUGCACACACCAAUGUAGCUGAUGACAAGCGUCAAGAGGACUGAGAGCCUGAGAGUGCCGAUCACAACUGAUGAGCAAUGCUCAGUUGCUGCCUGUCCUGCCACUGUGUGCCUGAAGAUGGGAAUCUUCUAAAAUGUGAUGAAGUCCUUCCUCUACUGCACAAGGAUUGAGACCUCAGAGGGCAAGUGUACCCAGGAGAGGCUGGAAUGCCAGUCAUCACUCUUCAGGGCAUUCAUCAGAACUUCAGAAAUGGAGCAAUCCCAACCUGAGUCCCCAGACCUGGAUGUGUGAAUGCCAACCUGUGAGGUUGCAAAGCAAAGACACCAGCUACGCUCUUGGAACAAUGUUCAGAUUACUACAUAUCCUCCUGGAGAUGCCACAGAUGAGAAGUUCAUAUGUUGUUAUUGCUGUUGUUCUUGUUCUCUUCUUGGUGUUGUUUUAUUUAAGUUUAGAAGAGGACAAGAUGAUAGUUUCUUUUUAUGAUAAUCAUCUCCUGGCAUUAUAACUCAGCAAUCAAAUGACUAAAUUCUUCACUUCUACUGUUUGGAAAUGACAAUGUAUGCUCAUCUUCCACACUUUCAUUUCAAAGGCAUUUUCUAUGUAACAGUUUUACCAAUGGAAUCCUUAUAAGCAAUAAUGGCAUGAAUAUAUGUUUUAUGUGCAAAAGUCUUUUGUGUAUAUGGUUAAUGUUUCCACCUGCU